rnacentral:rRNA from 1 species
CCUACGGGAGGCAGCAGUGAGGAAUAUUGGACAAUGGGCGAAAGCCUGAUCCAGCCAUGCCGCGUGCAGGAUGACUGCCCUAUGGGUUGUAAACUGCUUUUAUAUAGGAAGAAAAACUUUCUCGUGAGAAAGCUUGACGGUACUAUAAGAAUAAGGAUCGGCUAACUCCGUGCCAGCGGCCGCGGUAAUACGGAGGAUCCAAGCGUUAUCCGGAAUCAUUGGGUUUAAAGGGUCCGUAGGUGGACAAAUAAGUCAGAGGUGAAAUCCUGCAGCUCAACUGUAGAACUGCCUUUGAUACUGUUUGUCUUGAGUUAUUAUGAAGUGGUUAGAAUGUGUAGUGUAGCGGUGAAAUGCAUAGAUAUUACACAGAAUACCGAUUGCGAAGGCAGAUCACUAAUAAUUAACUGACACUGAGGGACGAAAGCGUGGGUAGCGAACAGGAUUAGAUACCCUGGUAGUCCACGCCGUAAACGAUGGUCACUAGCUGUUUGGACUUCGGUCUGAGUGGCUAAGCGAAAGUGAUAAGUGACCCACCUGGGGAGUACGUUCGCAAGAAUGAAACUCAAAGGAAUUGACGG